ACCCGGAACUUACGCGCGCCCUGGGAAAGCCCGCGGAGCCGGCGGCGGCGAGUAGGAGGAAAUUCGAAGGAGACGCGCAGCUUACACCCGUGGCAGGUGGAGGGAACAAUGUGACGAAACAGCUGAGCUGACCGCCCUUCCCUCAUGGAGUUGGCUUUUAGCCUCACGGCCGGUUUCUGUUGGAAAAGCUAGUGCGUGAAAGCCGCACCUUCUUCUCGAACCAGGGCCCGACAGCGGGGCCCUCUCCCUGGCAUCCACCUCUCUAGUCCAGCGUCAAGAUCACGGAAUUCCAGGCUGGGCGCGGUGGCUCACGCCUGUAAUCCCAGCACUUUGGGAGCCUGAGGCUGUGAGCCACCGUGCCUUGCCCUCCCAGCACGUUCCUUGAUGCUCACCCCUGAUCAGCCCCUCAAUUAAGAUGUUGCACUGCACCUAGUUCACAGGGGGCCUCUUCGCCGGAACUCGCUUUCAGAAUAUGGGGAAGAAAAAUGUCAGCUCCAGCCAAAGCCCAGCACCAUCGCCCUUACCCAGAACACUAUGCUACAAGAAUCCAUCCACCUCCACCCCUUCUCCACCUGGGUGUCUCUCAGACCCAGAAAAUGGUGCCAGUGACCCACUGACAAUGAAAUGUGGGG